GUGCUCUCUUUGGCAGCACAAAUACCUAAACUGGAACAAUACAGAAAAGAUUAGCACGGCCCCUGAGCAAGGAUGAUAUGCAAAUUCGUGAAGUUUCAUAUUUUUUC
ensembl:snRNA U6 U6 spliceosomal RNA